rnacentral:rRNA from 1 species
GGCGGCAGGCCUAACACAUGCAAGUCGAGCGGUAGAGAGAAGCUUGCUUCUCUUGAGAGCGGCGGACGGGUGAGUAAUGCCUAGGAAUCUGCCUGGUAGUGGGGGAUAACGUUCGGAAACGGACGCUAAUACCGCAUACGUCCUACGGGAGAAAGCAGGGGACCUUCGGGCCUUGCGCUAUCAGAUGAGCCUAGGUCGGAUUAGCUAGUUGGUGAGGUAAUGGCUCACCAAGGCGACGAUCCGUAACUGGUCUGAGAGGAUGAUCAGUCACACUGGAACUGAGACACGGUCCAGACUCCUACGGGAGGCAGCAGUGGGGAAUAUUGGACAAUGGGCGAAAGCCUGAUCCAGCCAUGCCGCGUGUGUGAAGAAGGUCUUCGGAUUGUAAAGCACUUUAAGUUGGGAGGAAGGGUUGUAGAUUAAUACUCUGCAAUUUUGGCGUUACCGACAGAAUAAGCACCGGCUAACUCUAUGCCAGCAGCCGCGGUAAUACAGAGGGUGCAAGCGCUAAUCGGAAUUACUGGGCGUAAAGCGCGCGUAGGUGGUUUGUUAAGUUGGAUGUGAAAUCCCCGGGCUCAACCUGGGAACUGCAUUCAAAACUGACUGACUAGAGUAUGGUAGAGGGUGGUGGAAUUUCCUGUGUAGCGGUGAAAUGCGUAGAUAUAGGAAGGAACACCAGUGGCGAAGGCGACCACCUGGACUAAUACUGACACUGAGGUGCGAAAGCG